CGUGCCUAGGAAGGGCUUGCUCUUGCUCUGUUUAUGAAUUAGGGUAGUGAAUGGGGGAUAGGAGUGGAAGUGAAAGUGCAAUUUUUCUAGAGUCGGUGUCUGGCUUUCCAUUCCUGGAGGAGGUUAUAUAUCUACAUUUGAGUUCAUGUCUCCACAAUAAAUGUAGAAGGAAGAGACAAAGUCCUGCAAAGUUGGGUUUUGUCCUCUCCACAUUGGGACUUUACAGAACAGCUUUGACUUUAUCUGAUGCUCCAUCAGCCUUCUGGCUCCUGCUGACUGAGCCUGGGACAACACUUCUCACUUCCCACUCGUCAUUGUAAAUAUAAAAGUCUCCAUGUACAGAGAGUGACUGUCAUUCAUGCCACCAACAUUCUUCCAGCAGGUGCUGGGACAAGUUCAAUGGAAAGCUCACGGCCCAAGCUAGGGUUCUUUCUUUGUUGGGAGACUGAGGCUGUUUGCAUCUGGGUUAGGACAGCUGAGGAAGUGAGCAUCAGGCCAAGCUGGGCUGAGCUGGGCUGCACUAAGACCUAUCAGGGAGAGCAGAGUGCGUAGGUGGCCAGCUCAGCUGCUUGCCUGCCUCUCAGGAAGAACAAUUGAACUGUCACCCGGUG
rnacentral:lncRNA from 1 species